GAUGAACGCUGGCGGCGUGCCUAAUACAUGCAAGUCGAGCGAAUGGAUUAAGAGCUUGCUCUUAUGAAGUUAGCGGCGGACGGGUGAGUAACACGUGGGUAACCUGCCCAUAAGACUGGGAUAACUCCGGGAAACCGGGGCUAAUACCGGAUAACAUUUUGAACCGCAUGGUUCGAAAUUGAAAGGCGGCUUCGGCUGUCACUUAUGGAUGGACCCGCGUCGCAUUAGCUAGUUGGUGAGGUAACGGCUCACCAAGGCAACGAUGCGGAGCCGACCUGGGAGGGUGAUCGGCCACACUGCGCCUGAGACACGGCACAGACUCGUACUGGAGGCAGCAGUAGGGAAUCUUACGCACUGGACGAAAGUCUGACGGAGCAACGCCGCGUGAGUAGUGAAGGCUUUCGGGUCGUAAAACUCUGUUGUCAGGGAAGAACAAGUGCUAGUUGAAUAAGCUGGCAGCUUGACGGUACCUAACCAGAAAGCCACGGCUAACUACGUGCCAGCAGCCGCAGUAA
rnacentral:rRNA from 1 species